AGGACGAACGCUGGCGGCGUGCUUAACACAUGCAAGUCGAACGGUGAAGGGACCUUCGGGUCCCGGAUCAGUGGCGAACGGGUGAGUAACACGUGGGCAACCUGCCCCUAGCUCUGGAAUAACCCCGGGAAACCGAGGCUAAAUACCGGAUACGACCCUGCGCGGCAUCGCGCGGGGUGGAAAGUUUUUCGGCUAGGGAUGGGCUCGCGGCCUAUCAGCUUGUUGGUGGGUAACGGCCCACCAAGGCGACAACGGGUAG
rnacentral:rRNA from 1 species